GUGUGUGUGUGUGUGUGUGUGUGUGUGUAACCCGCCUGAACAGAUAAACCGCUUCCACUCAGCCAUCUCAUUCCUACCCUUCAGCUCCAGACAGCACACUACACUUCGCCCAGCCCUUCUCAGAGCAACCUCAGACCUAAUCUCGGACCAUCAGAGACCUGAACUCUCCACUUCUGCGUCUCUACACGGGACAUGUCUGAUCUCAGGAUGGUUUGCGGAUGAAGGAUAAUUAGCCAGCGCGUGGGUUAGUGGACCAGCUCCAGCGCCCUUUCUCAGACAUCACCUCCUCUUUAUCUUCUUCUGCUGAACGCGAGCGUGUGAACGAAUGAGCACACCUAUCCGGAGUUAGUAAUAUGAACUUUCUGCCAAGUGGAAUAUGUUUAUAUUUAUCUGUGGCAACCUGCUGGUUCACAUCAAGGGUCGAGUCUUCCUGGUGGUACAUGGGCACGCUGGGCUCGCAGGUGAUGUGCGACAACAUCCCGGGUCUGGUGAGUAAACAGCGGCAGAUGUGCAGGCAGCAUCCCGGGGUCAUGCAGGCGAUCAGCGGCGGAGUGAACGAGUGGAUCAGUGAGUGCCAGCACCAGUUCCGCCAUCACCGCUGGAACUGCAACACUGUGGCGAGAGAUCAUAGUGUGUUCGGCAAACUCCUGCACCGCAACAGUCGUGAGGCUGCCUUUGUGUAUGCCAUCUCCUCAGCAGGCAUGGUCCACACACUGACCAGAGCCUGCAGUCAGGGCGAGCUGGACUCUUGCUCCUGCGAUCCGGGAAAAAAAGGCUCAUCACAUGAUCCCAAAGGGCCCUUUGACUGGGGUGGCUGUAGUGACCACGUGGACCAUGCCAUCAAGUUCACUCAGGCGUUUGUUGAUGCCAAGGAGAAGAAGGAGAGGGAUGCACGAGCGCUCAUGAACCUGCACAACAAUCGCGCAGGAAGGAGGGCAGUGAAACGUUUCAUGACUCUGGAAUGUAAAUGCCAUGGUGUGAGUGGGUCCUGCAACAUUCGGACGUGCUGGCUGGCCAUGGGCGACUUCAGACAGACGGGCGACUACCUGCGCAAGAAGUACAACAGCGCCACCCAGGUGGUGAUGAACCGCUAUGGGACAGGCUUCACCAUUGCCCACAGGAAGUUCAGGAAGCCCACAAAGAAUGAUCUGGUAUACUUUGAGGACUCGCCUGACUACUGCAUAUGGGACCACGAAUCUGGUGAGCAUUGAUAGUUGAGCAUUGCAUACUGUACUAUACAUACUGUACAUAUCUCAUGCCAGUGCAUACCUAGUGCAGUUUGUUUUGUGGAUAAACUUCAAAAGAAUGCACAAGUACAACAGAAGAUGAGGAAAAACCUGAAUUUGCCAGCCAGUAUCAUACGCCCUUGUUAGUCCUGGCAUAUUCCUCCACCAGCUGUGCUACUCUACUAGCAAUCUGUAAAGCAUUAGUCUUGCCUCUGAACUCAGUGAGAAUGUAACCAGAGAAUGGAAGCCAUUUAGCUGCCUAUUACAUUCACAAGAGUCAAAGUUGUCACAAUAGAAACCAGAAUGCAGUUGGCUAGUGUCCCCGCAAGGCAAGAAACCAUCUCUGUCUUCCUUUUUUCUCGUGUGCUUGUGCUUGUAUGCGUGAGUGUGUUGAAGUGUACUGAAUAACACCAGGUGUGCCUGUGUGGAGUGCGGGAGGGGUAGAGGUGCCUGUCAGGCUGCAGAUGAUCCUGGGCUAUCAAGUAACACUGCGUUUAAGACACAUUACCACAGAUCUGUGGACAGCACAGGAGCUGAAACAUGAUCCCUGCUCUCCACCACUAUAAAUUACUGGCCUCACCAGAACACCUCUCUUCUGUCUGCCCCUGAAUGGGCAGAAAUAUUUAGAGUCGUAGGUCAUGUCUCAUAACUUCCCACAGGGUGCAUGAUGAUCUCUCUGAAAAAUCUUUUGGCCCGUGUUUUUUAAACUUCUUCUGAACUGUGAAUUAUGUUUUCCCGGAAGAAUAGAGGACCAUGUAUAAAUAAAAUGCAUGAUUAAAUGACAACAUGAUAUGCAGAAAAUUCUAUGUUAUUCCAGUACCCUUAGUCAUAUUCAUCCUUGACGUUUGUGUCCUGGUACAAAUGCUGGCAGGAUUGUUUUGAGACACUACAGCUGAAGUGGAAUGGCACAGUGUAUUCACAUUGAUCUCAGCGCGGUUCAGCAUGAGAAAGACUCUGAGAAGAGGUUUGUUCGAGGGCAAUCCCAAGAUGUAGCCCGCCAAAGCUCUUCAUCUUCGAAAGUGUGAAAUCAAUUCCAGCAACAGCACAUGCUAAAGUCAUCUCGUGGCACUCCUCACAUCUUAAUUCAGUAAGCAGAUGCACCUCAGGUGAUGAUGUAACCAAAAUCAUCCUGGCAUGCCAGCCAUUUGGACGGUGGAGUGGGGGAUGGGGGCUGCUGGGUCAUGCCCAAACACAUCUUUCAAUCGCGUGCAAGACACAGCAGUGACAAAUAAGGGUCAGGACUGCCAAUUAAAACCUUAAACAUAUCUAUUCACGAUCCAAGUUGCAAAUUCAAAGGCUAAAUUGGGGUUACAUAAGCCAGCUGACACGAAUCCUCUGUUGUGUUUGUAAAGGUUAGCAUCAAUGUGUUCAUAGUCCAUGAUUGUUUUCCCAGUGCUAUGUUGGGCCGUCAGUCUGAGGGCCCUCAUGCACAAAGCCCUGAGAAUUUUCCCAGGAUGCCACAUGAAAGCUAGGGUUGAUACAAGGUCUUUAACAAUUUCGAUAUCAGCGGUCGAUCAGUGCCGCACCAGUCUCCACGCCGGGAGGGGUUGUCUAGAUUAGGGCUGUUGAAAUGAGCACGCGAUGAAGACUUGCAGCUGCAGCUGAUAGGUCCUAUCAUCAGUCCCUCAUCUUAUGAAGGACCAAGCGGUCAUCUUCUUACCCAGCUCAGUCUGCUCUGCUGCUUCUUCAAGAGCGCCAGACGUCUGCCAGGCAGUGAAACCAGAUUGUUCAGCCCAGCGUUGCACAUCUCAAGGUCAGUGGGCACGGGGGGCCGCGUGUGCAACCGGACUUCACACGGAGCCGACAGCUGUGAGGUCAUGUGUUGUGGGCGGGGCUAUGACACUUCCCGCGUGAGUCGCACUACCAAGUGUGAGUGCAAGUUCCACUGG